ACGAGAUUCGCAUCCGCCACUUUAGAGAUUGUAAUGCAGUGUCAAUAUACUUCGGAGAGGACUCACCUAUGUCAAGGAGGAUCGAUCUAGGCGCUGGAGCGGAUGAGACGAGGCACAAAGUCUCAUCUUGAUGACAGCGUUGCAGUGAGACUCAUGUUGAACAUGAAUGAAGCCAGUAAGAGGAUGCAUGAAGUAAGAACCUAAGGGUUGGAUGUAACAAGGGAGUGAAGUUUGGGUAAGAGGCCACAACAACUAUGCUUUUUUAUUUCAUAUGGGAAAUUCUAUUUAUACCAUCCUGUUCCUAUGUACACCCUCUUCCUUCUCUUUAUAACUUUUUAUUGUAAA